CACUAUGCCUAGCCGUAAACAUUGAUAUUAAUCUACCUGUUUUAUCCGCCCGGGUACUACGAGCAUCAGCUUAAAACCCAAAGGACUUGACGGUGCUUUAGAUCCACCUAGAGGAGCCUGUUCUAGAACCGAUAAUCCCCGUUAAACCUCACCUUUCCUCGUUUCAUCAGCCUAUAUACCGCCGUCGUCAGUUUACUCUGUGAAGAACUUGAAGUAAGCACAAUUGGUACAACCCAAAACGCCAGGUCGAGGUGUAGCCAAUGGAGAGGGAAGAAAUGGGCUACAUUCAAUAAAAAUAAUGAACACGAAUGAUGUUUUGAAAUAAAUAUCUAAAGGAGGAUUUAGUAGUAAGUGGAGAAUAGAGUGCUCUACUGAAAUUGGCCCUGAAGCGCGUACACACCGCCCGUCACUCUCCCCAAGCUAAAAAAGCACAUUUCUAAAAAACAAAAUCUGCAAAGGGGAGGCAAGUCGUAA
rnacentral:rRNA from 1 species